rnacentral:lncRNA from 1 species
AUAUGAGUCAUAUAGCUGACUCACACAAGAAUGGAAGUUGGAACCAUGAAAAAUGAUGGGUUUGAGGACUGUUUUGCUUUCACUCUAAUAUUUUUGCCUUUCGUAAAACUUACUUUUAUAUGUUCCAGGUGUUCUACCUUAUCGGCCUGCACAAAGUUGUUUUGACUUUACUUGCUCCAGGUCCACUCAUUAAAGUGUGUCUGUUUAAGUGGAUUUAGUCUUCCUUCACAUCUUGGGUAAUUUUUUGUACUAACAUAUAAUUGUUUAUGUUUCCUUUUAGUUUUCAAUCUAUUUGUGUUGGUUGGUUGACUAAAAGCUGUUAACAAAUUUGAUAAGAAUGUGUUGAGUUAUAUUAUCUUAUGCAUGUUUCCUAUGCAUAAGCUAUUUUUCAUUAGGUAGCUACAAUGAUACAAUUCUUUGAUGUUGAGAUGUACCGAUUUGAUGUUGCUUGCUAUUUCUUUAGCCAAUUUGAACACUGAUGUGAAAUAGCUGAUGUUUUUGCUAUUAUCAUGUCUGUAAUCAGAAUCACGUGUUGUUGCAGUUGUUAUACUGCUGGAUAUGCUCCAAGUGCUCCUGUCGCUGAGAAUCAAUCCUCUCCUCGAAGAUAUUAUGGCUAAGGAAAUGCUAGCAUUCCCAAGAUAACUUUAUUUAUCUCCCGGUGGCUUUAUAUAAAUGAUUGCAAAUAAGUAAGUAUAAUUUAAUUUAUAAGCUGUAAUAGUUAAUUGGAGAUAGGUUUGUUACUUCAUUGUCACUGGAUAUAUUUGAUAGGCAAAAA